rnacentral:rRNA from 1 species
UACGGGGGGGGCAAGCGUUGUUCGGAAUUACUGGGCGUAAAGGGCUCGUAGGUGGCCAACUAAGUCAGACGUGAAAUCCCUCGGCUUAACCGGGGAACUGCGUCUGAUACUGGAUGGCUUGAGGUUGGGAGAGGGAUGCGGAAUUCCAGGUGUAGCGGUGAAAUGCGUAGAUAUCUGGAGGAACACCGGUGGCGAAGGCGGCAUCCUGGACCAAUCUGACACUGAGGAGCGAAAGCCAGGGGAGCAAACGGG